rnacentral:misc_RNA from 1 species
GAUGAAGAACGUAGCGAAAUGCGAUAAGUAGUGUGAAUUGCAGAAUUCCGUGAGUCAUCGAAUCUUUGAACGCACAUUGCGCCCUCUGGUAUUCCGGAGGGCACGCCUGUCUGAGCGUCAUUGUCAACCCUCAAGCUCAGCUUGCUGUUGGGUCCCCGUCGUUGCUUUAACGGCGGACCCGAAAGGUAAUGGCAGAGUCCGUGAGACCCUAGACGCAGCGAGCUUCUAGCACGCGUCUGGACGUUUUUCGGGCUCGGUCUUAACUAGAUGAUAACUUCCGAUUGACCUCAGAUCAGGUAGGGAUACCCGCUGAACUUAAGCAUAUCAAUAAGCGGAGGA